rnacentral:rRNA from 1 species
ACUAAAUAGAUACCCGGGUAGUCCACGCCCUAAACCAUGAUAACUGGCUUUCCGGAGUAUCGACCCUCUGGGAGGCGAAAGCUAAACGCGUUAAAGUUAUCCGCCUGGGUAGUACGGCCGCAAGGCUAAAACUCAAAGGAAUAGACGGGGGCUUGCACAAGCGGUGGAGCGUGUGGCUUAAUUCGUCGCUAAGCGAAGAACCUUACCAGGGCUAGAAAUCCUACUGCAUACUUUGGGAAACCAGAGUAGCCUUCGAGGGUGUAGGACAGGUGAUGCAUGGCUGUCGUCAGUUCGUGGUUUGAAAUCGUUCCCUUCAGUGGGGUAACGAACGCAACCCUCGUUGCCUGUUUACAAGUGUCAGGCGAGACUGCCCCCUCACGGGGGAGGAAGGUGAGGAUGACGCCAAGUCAGCAUGUCCCUCUGAUGUCCUGGGGCUGCACACGCGCUACAAUCGCCUUUACAAAGGGGCGCAACGGGGUAACCCGGAGCAAAUCCUUAAAAGAGGCGCCAGUUCGGAUUGGGGUCUGCAACUCGACCCCAUGAAGCCGGAAUCGCUAGUAAUCGU